rnacentral:rRNA from 1 species
UACGUAGGGGGCGAGCGUUGUCCGGAUUUAUUGGGCGUAAAGCGCUCGCAGGCGGCUCGAUGCGUCGUGCGUGAAAGACCCCGGCUCAACUGGGGGGCGUCGUGCGAUACGGUCGGGCUGGAGGCCAGUAGGGGGAUGCGGAAUUCCGGGUGUAGUGGUGGAAUGCGUAGAGAUCCGGAGGAACACCAGCGGCGAAGGCGGCAUCCUGGACUGGACCUGACGCUCAGGAGCGAAAGCGUGGGGAGCGAACAGG